GCCUCAGUAACGGCGAGUGAAGCGGCAUAAGCUCAAAUUUGAAAUCUGGCUCUUUCAGGGUCCGAGUUGUAAUUUGUAGAAGAUGCUUCGGGUGUGGUCCCGGUCUAAGUUCCUUGGAACAGGACGUCAUAGAGGGUGAGAAUCCCGUAUGUGACUGGGUGCCUAUGCUCAUGUGAAGCUCUUUCGACGAGUCGAGUUGUUUGGGAAUGCAGCUCAAAAUGGGUGGUAUAUUUCAUCUAAAGCUAAAUAUUGGCCAGAGACCGAUAGCGCACAAGUAGAGUGAUCGAAAGAUGAAAAGCACUUUGGAAAGAGAGUUAAACAGUACGUGAAAUUGUUGAAAGGGAAGCGCUUGCAAUCAGACUUGCGCCUGGUUGAUCAUCCGGGGUUCUCUCCGGUGCACUCGAUCAGGCUCAGGCCAGCAUCGGUUUGGGUGGUUGGAUAAAGGCCUUGGGAAUGUGGCCCCUCUUGGGGGGUGUUAUAGCCCUCGGUGCCAUGCAGCCUACCUGGACCGAGGACCGCGCUUCGGCUAGGAUGCUGGCGUAAUGGUUGUAAGCGACCCGUCUUGAAACACGGACCAAGGAGUCUAACAUCUAUGCGAGUGUUUGGGUGUCAAACCCAUACGCGUAAUGAAAGUGAACGGAGGUGAGAACCCUUCAGGGUGCAUCAUCGACCGAUCCUGAUGUCUUCGGAUGGAUUUGAGUAAGAGCAUAGCUGUUGGGACCCGAAAGAUGGUGAACUAUACGUGAAUAGGGUGAAGCCAGAGGAAACUCUGGUGGAGGCUCGCAGCGGUUCUGACGUGCAAAUCGAUCGUCAAAUUUGCGUAUAGGGGCGAAAGACUAAUCGAACCAUUGGAAAGCUACUAG
rnacentral:rRNA from 2 species